CUGCUCACUUUGGUAGUACAUGUACCAAAAUUCGGAUGAUACAGAGAAGACUGGCAUGGCCUUUGCACAAGGAUGACAUGCAAAUGUGUGAAGCAUUUCACCUUCAC
ensembl:snRNA U6 U6 spliceosomal RNA